GUCUGUGUUUUUGGGAAACACCCCUAGGACAGAAGUAAUCUGUCGUCCCCAGGCUCCCAACACGCUGGCUUUCCCCGCAACCUCCCGACCCUCAGACACAACACUAAUUGUCUCCUCACGUUGCCACUUUCCCUCCUUCCCGUCCUUUAAAAAAAAAAAAAAAAAAAAAAAAAAAAAAAAAAAAAAGGAAAGAAAAAAAAAAAACGCGCUGCGAAACGGCCUGCCGAGAGCAAAGCCAGCAAUCAAAUCGAUAUGAUCAGUGCCUCCGAGUGACCUCAAGGCCCUGCUCUGCGGCAGCACGCAGCCCCUGCUGCAAAGCGGGUUAACUGCGCGCUGCUGGGGAGCGCCGAGAGGCAGCGGAGAGGGAGCUGGGGGCAGAGAGGCAGCCGGUGCGGAGCGGCCGCCGGGAGGUACCUGCUCCUGCUCGCAUCGCGCCUCUGCCUUCCCCGGCCGGCUGCCGCCGCUCCCCGCGUGCAUGCAUUACGCGAGCGGUGCCCGCUCCUCCCGCGCCAGGGCGAGCCGCAGAGGCACCCUCAUUAGCUCCCACUGAUGAGUCCUUUCAGGAUCGUGAAUGGAACAAUUGUCAAAAACUGCGGGAAAAAACGACAAGCCCUGAGACUAUUACAUACAGACACAGCUUGUGUGCGCGCAUGUGACAUUUGCAGGCAACCCAGAUCUGUUCGUAAACUCUUGAGCGUUAUUCGAGAUAAAACAUUACAUUGCUUAUACGGUUAAAGAGGCUGCUUAUCCCCGAUCAAAAAACAAACAGCUUCGGAGGCAGGGAAAGCCAGGAAACGAGCAAGCUCUCCGCCAGACACACCUUGCCUUCCUCGGAUCCUACAGCACUGUCUACAAACAGCUGCGCUGUGCUCUUGCAACUGUCACUGCUUCAUUUUAAAAGAAGAAGAGUAAUAAUAAUAAGUGAAAUACUUCCUGAAAACUUACUUUGCAUUUAGUUUAGGCACUAUUCUUUUUUUCAGCUCGCAAAGGAAGCCGUUUUGUCCAGGUCGAUUUGCAUGACCUCCGGCAAAGAGCUACGGCAGCAAGAAAUCCCAAGCCGAACGUUGCCACAAAGCGGCACACAUCGCCCCUUCUCCGGGUGUAAACAGAGCUCGCAGAUGAUGGACUGCUCCCCCCCCUCCUCCCUCGUGUAUCACGAAUUAGGGUGCGAUAUCAAUUUUAAAGUUUUCCGUAUAACUUUAUCCGAGCCCCCUGCUUGGAGAGAUAAGGCGCCGCCGCAGAGCCGCAGCUCCUCGGGACAGUGCCCCGGUGUGGCCGAACCCGGCAUCGCCGCCGGCGGGUCCCGUAGCUUUGUAGGGUUCCCUGCUCCGCGCACAGCACUCAUUUGUGGCCAACUUCAAAGCAGUCACCCACCUCGAACUUAACGGAGAAUUUAAAAGCACCACUAAGCUCCUUUCGCCUUGCUCCAGCCCGCGUCUUUCGGGGUGAGCCGUGAAGAGAAGCCCACGCCAAUGCUUAGGAGCAGUGACAGCAGCGCUCUGCUCUCAAAGAUUUAUUUCGGAUUUUAUUUUUCCUCUCUCUCUCUCUUUCUCCCUCUCGUGUUAGUUCCUUACGUACAAUAUCUUCCCAGCACCAUGUGUUCGCCUGCCGUGGGUGAUCUUAAAAUACAGCGCUGAUCUGUCACUACAUUUUAAAAUAAACUCUACUCGGGGAGGAUGAGAAAGUGUUGUGAUUUCGAGGUACUGAGGUCCCUUAAUGUCUCUGAAACCUCGGGAUUCAAACAGCCCCGGAAACUCGCCCGGGGACGAGACUAUAACUACUUUUUCCUAAGGGGGAAAAAGAAAAAAUAAAGGGGAAAAGAAAAAAACCUCGUGGCACAAAAGUAAAUAAUCGUGCAGGGGGAGGCGGGGGGAAGGGGUGAAUUCAGCAACGUUAAAAGCUAAACACAUCUACCUCCGGACGCUGCUCCUUUACUCAAUUGCAACUAACAACCCAUUAAAGACAGCGCAGGGGGAACCGGAUUCUCUCCUGCAAAGCGACAUAAAUCCAGCGAAAACCCAUUAAACCACCACCGCCGCCACCAAGCAACGCAGCACUACACACCACAGCAAACAACAGUGAAGGCGAUGGUUACUGCUGUCAAUCUUGGCAAUCAAUGUGAGCGGCCAUGUCGUAAGUAUUCAAAGCAUUUCCCGUCGUGCAACAUCAGAAAGUGAGUGGCCAGGGCAUUGAUCUGAGGAAGGCAAAAGGAGGCAGGGCUCCCCCGCCCAGACAGCACAGGCAAGAUGAGACAACACAGAGAGAGAGAGAGAGGGAGAGAGAGAGAGAGAGGGAAAGGCAGAGAGGGAGAGGGAGGCUCAGAGCGAGUGAGCGGGGAAAGCAACAACUGCAGAGAAAGUGAGCACAAAACAGAAAGUGAAAUCACCCCAGGCUGCCAGCCGCAUCCCCGAGAAGCUAUCACCACUCACAUUGCUAUUAGACAAAUGAAACCUAAAACCUCUCUCCUCUAAUGACCACUGAUUGCCCGGAGUGGUGAGGAAAGAAAUUUGCAGAAUAGGUUAAAGCCAGAGGUACACUCAGCCCUCCCGUAAAUGAACCUUGCUUUCUAAGGACGUGCUGAAAAUCGAGCAGCAACAUGAUGGCACAGAACUGAUCUGCUCUGGCUCUGAUUCAUUUUGUUAACAAGCUGUAAAACUCAAAGCACGGUGAGAGUCGGGCACACUGCAGCCUCUACCUUGCUACCCGGGGUACCAUUGUCCGUCUCUAGUCCAGUCCAGGGAAAACAAGUUUUAAGUCAGAACCUCGUGGAAGAACGGACCUAGUUCAUCAAGUAUUUGUGGCAAUUCCACUACGAUAACAGGAGCAAGCGAGUCUUAUUUGGCAAGCAACAAACACCUUGAAACAGAACUUGAAAUUUAUCUAGUAAGGCUUUACCGUCAAAUUAGCUGGCUGAGGGCAUAGCAGCUGAUUUCCAUGCAUUCUUUCAAUUUUAAUGAAAGAUACUAAAAACCUGUAAUUCGGAGACGGGGGUAAAUUGUUAGGUUGCAGCUGCUGAGUGUGUAUUCACCUGCGUUCAGCUAAUUCAAACUAUUCAUCUUGCUGCAGUUAUCUAAGUAUGGAUUUAACAACAGGAAGCAGCUUCCCUUCCAGAUAUCGCUACGUCCUUUUUAAUCUUUAAUUGUAAGAAUUCCUGCGAUAGGUCAGUAACACUUCCCUUGUAAUGCGUUUAGACCUGCUGCAAGUAAAGGAAACAACCUGACUUUACGCAUAACUAGUGGCUUUGGCGCACAAAAAAUGAGUUCUGCAAGAAAACAGAUGUAAGCAGAACACAAGGACGACCCGUCCUAUCCGAGUUCACUACCCCACCAAUUUAUUGCUGGAAGUGGUUUUCUUUUUUUUUUUUAAAAAAAAAAAAAAAAGGAAAAAACACCUACAUCCUCAAAUGCAUGCAACGUCCUCCUUCGAACAACUUACAAAGUACGAGGCGGUAAUGAGACGAGAGAUAAUUAAGGCAUCCGAAAAAUUUAACCGCCCACCUAGGUCCAAAUCAGAGGAGCAUCCCUCUGCACUCCCGAAAAUCCCGUGCAGGGAAUGACACUCAGCUGGGGCAGGACAGCGCAGAGAUGCGCCCACAUUCCCAGGCGGAGCGCGAGCAAUACUCUCUAGCUUGUUGCUUCCCCUGUGUGAUCAAUUAAGUUACAGAUGCAGCACACACUUUCAGAGCGCUUCAACUUCUCCGCGGUAGAAAACGAGGACUCCGUGGGCAUUGUAUGCAAAUAUGCGUGUAUGUGCGCUGCACAGGAAUAAUUGCGUUUCCCUCUUUGUUUGCAUAAGUGAACAUCCGCCGUGCAGAUAUGUACACACGUGCAGAGAAACAAGAAAACGCUUUUACUUCUAGCGUUGCCAUGCGCUUAGAGACUAGGCUGCAUUUUAAGAUCUCUAGCUUUUUCUUCGUGAAGGGUACAGACAGCCACAGCAGCCGGCGUGGGCAGAUGUUGGGGGCUGCUGGGCUGCUGUGGGUCCCCGCAGAGGGAAGGAAUCGGAGCCUCUCAGUUCACGUCGGGGCACUUACCUGUUCGCAGCUGUCAGCGCAUUUUGCGCCGUCUCUCUCAUUAAAUACACAAAAGUAAAGCGAUGUUCAACAAGCAAAGCAACCUGUCUGUGCGUUAAGUUUUACAUACCCCGUCUUUAAACAGCUGAACAAACCUACAACUCCUGUAGAGUUGGUGGAACAGUCUCUGAAGUUUUGAUUCAAAGAGCAAGAAAUUCCGCCUUAAAAGUCAUUCACACAAUUGUAAACUCCCCUCUCUCCCCACUUAAUGCCGGGCAAUUAACAGGCACGUUCCAAAAUUCCCUCUCCUGACACUCUCCGACCAUGAAGACCUUUCACAGGCACGUUAAAGAUGUUCAGAAAAACUUUUGCAAAAUAAUCAACAGCAUCUGAGAGAAAGCUAAAGGAAAAAAAGUUAAAGCCUGAUCAUCCGAUUGGGAGAAAGUUUUGCUAGACAAGAUAAAAGCAUAUCACUGCACGUUUUUUCACAAGCAGCCCCACCAGCUGAUGAUACGAGUUCCCCUAGAACCAGAACCUCUGGCGAUCUCCUCAAAAUUUAGGGGACGUUUGCAUUUCGUAACGCCCAAAGCUAAAGAUCUGUCUGAAAACAAAAACCUCUGAAUUCCUUAGAGCGUCAUCUGCCAACACAGUGUAUUGUCCUGGCAGAAACAGGAUCAAGGAGAUUUUAAUUUCAUUUGAAACUGUGCAUCAUCUUGACAGUAAAGCCAAAAGCCGCAGCAACAGCCUCCCCCCCCCCCCCCCCCCC